UAGGGAAUAUUGGUAAUGUGCGAAAGCGCGAACCAGCAACGCCGCGUGCACGAUGAAGGCCUUCGGGUUGUAAAGUGCUUUUAGAGAGGAUGAGGAAGGACAGUACUUUCUGAAUAAGCCUCGGCUAACUACGUGCCAGCAGCCGCGGUAAAACGUAGGAGGCUAGCGUUAUCCGGAUUUACUGGGCGUAAAGCGCGUGCAGGUGGUUUCGUAAGUUGGAUGUGAAAGCUCCUGGCUUAACUGGGAGAGGUCGUUCAAAACUGCGAGGCUUGAGAGUGGUAGAUGGAGGUGGAAUUCCGGGUGUAGUGGUGAAAUGCGUAGAUAUCCGGAGGAACACCAGUGGCGAAAGCGGCCUCCUGGACCAUUUCUGACACUCAGACGCGAAAGCUAAGGUAGCAAACG
rnacentral:rRNA from 1 species